GGUAGCCUGGCCGAGCGGCCUAAGGCGCCAUUUUGACUUCGGAGACGUGGGUUCGAAUCCCACCGCUGCCU